ACUCUACUCAACCUCCGGUUCUCUAACCGCACGCCACACUCCUGACGUGGCCCGAACCCGGUUCUUGCCCAUGUCACGGUUCUUGCUCUACUCAAUCCCGGGCUGCUUCACUCUCCCUCUUCUCCCUCAGAGUGACUCGACGCAACGCAUCUCCCUCUUCGAGCCUCAGACCUCGCACCCUCGUUCUCCCUCAGACCUCUGAACUCUCCCUCUCGAACCUCAUACUCUUCUCUCUCACGCCUUCUUUCUCACCCCGACUCCCUAACCCCAAAAUCUCCCGAACCCUAGAAAAUUCCCAAAAUCUCGAACCCUAGAAAAUUUCAGCAACAACAUCUAACUCGAAGACCUUCUCUUUCUUUAACCCCUUCUCUCUCUCCCCUUCAGCCCCAAGCCGCUGGAGUGAUGGAGCCAUAACCUUUGAAGACCCAUCUCCCUCACCCCCUUCAGUAGAAGAAAUCUUCGUCAAAGACACGGGGACUGAUUUACCACAACCUUUUGAAGACCCAUCUCCCUCACCCCCUUCAGUUUGAAGAAAUCUCCGUGAAAGAUCAAUUAUGGCAUCGAGUCAAUCAUCAUCAUGUGUAGUUAAUGAUCUUGAAAUAGAAUCACCGAGUUGUUGGUGUGGUUUGAAAGCGCCAUUAGAGAUCUCCCACACCCACAAAAAUCCUGGAAUGAAAUUUUAUGCUUGUCCGAGUAAUGGAAUGGUAAAUAAUUUGCCAACUUUUUGUAUUGCAGUUGAAUGCAUGUACCAAAAUAUUUAUUUACAUGAAAUUUGAAAUUCUUGAAUUAUACACAGGGAGAAACAAGAUGUCAAUUCUUCAUUUGGGCAAAUAUACUUCAAUCAGUAUUAUCUGAGAAAAACCUGACAAGAGAGAAUGAAAUUCGGAAGAGGGAGGAUGCUUUGUUGUUGCGUGAGUAUGAAGCUCAAAAAAAAGAGGACAAACUAAUAGAGAGAGAGAGAGAAAAUGCUUCAGAAGCAA